GUUUAUCCUGCGGGAGACCACUGCUUGUAGAAUUCUUGAGACAUGCAAGUUUAUGAGCAAUCAUGGCGAAAGGCUCAGUAACACGUCAAUAAUCUAACCUAUGGUAAGGCAUAACUUCGGGAAACUGAGGGUAAUUCCUUAUAGACAAAAGCUACUGGAAUGUGCUUUUGUUCAAAGCUUCGGCGCCAUAGGAUGAGUUGGCGGCAGAUUAGGCUGUUGGUAAGGUAAAGGCUUACCAAACCUAAGAUCUGUAAGGGGGAUGAGAGUCCUAGCCCUGAGAGGGAGGCUGAGAUAAGGCUCCCAGCCCUACGGGGUGCAGCAGUUCUGAAUACUUCACAAUGCGCGAAAGCGUGAUGAGGGGAUUCUACGUGCAUGCGCUUUUUGUGUAUGCUUUUCUGAAGUCCAAAACGCUUCAGGAAUAAAGGGUGGGCAAGACCGGUGCCAGCCGCCGCGGUAAUCCCGGCGCCCUUAGUGGUGGUCAUGAUUAUUGGGUCUAAAGCAUCCGUAGCCGGCCGAGUAAGUUUUUAGUGAAAUCUGGCAGCUCAACUGUCAGGCGAGCUGAAAAUACUGCUUAGCUUGAGACUGGGAGGAGUUAGAGGUAUUCUGGGGGGAGCGGUAAAAUGUUUUAAUCCUCAGAGGACCGCCAGCGGCGAAGGCGUCUAACUAGAACGGGUCUGACGGUGAGGGAUGAAAGCUAGGGGAUCAAAGAGGAUUAGAUACCCUCGUAGUCCUAGCUGUAAACGCUGCCUGUUAGGUGCUGCAUGUUUUUCGUGAGCAUGCAGUGUCGUAGAGAAGUCGUUAAACAGGCCACCUGGGGAGUACGGUCGCAAGGCUGAAACUUAAAGGAAUUGGCGGGGGGCUACCACAAGGAGUGGGUGCUGCGGUUCAAUUGGAGUAUACGCCCGGAAACUCACCAGAGGCGACAGCAGAAUGAAGGUCAACCUGAAUGGUUCACUCGACGCGCUGAGAGAUGGUGCAUGGCCGCCGUCAGCUCGUGCCGUGAGGUGUUCUGUUAAGUCAGACAACGAGCGAGACCUAUGCUUUCAGUUGCUACUGUUUUCAUUGAGGACAGGCACACUGAAGGGACUGCUCUCGAAAGGGAGAGGAAGGUGUAGGCUACGGUAGGUCAGUAUGCCUCGAAUCCUCUGGGCUACACGCGGCAAGCAAUGGUUGAAACAACGGGCUGCAACUCCGAAAGGAGAAGCUAAUCCCUUAAAUUCAAUCUUUCCGAAUCGAGGGUUGCAACUCACCCUCGUGAAAACGAAAUUCCUAGUAAUCGCGCGUUAGCAUCGUGCGGUGAAUGUGUCCCUGGCCCUUGCACACACUGCCUGUCACGCCAACCGAGUUGGGUUGGGAUGAGGCUCAGCUUUUUGGUUAAGUCGAAUCCUGGUUCAGCGAGGCGGGCGAAGUCAACACAAGGUA
rnacentral:rRNA from 1 species